UGAGCAGGUUGCAAUUCCAGUGUUUUGUUUUUGUGGGAGUACUGGCAUAACCCUGCUGAAAACAAAUCUGUGCCAAUCAUUUUCUUAUUUUACUUUUUUUGGAGGUAAAAUUAUUGCUGAUUAGCACAGACAGUU
ensembl:snoRNA